AACGGGCUGUACCACUGGCCGCUGCGCCCUCGCGAGACGCCGCAAUGUGGCGCGAGGGCUAAGUGCCCAAUGAUUGGCCGUGGGGCGGGGCUCCAGGAGGAAAGAGGGCGAAGGGGCUUGGGGUCGCCGCCUAGUUUGUGCGUCGUGCGACCGGUGCUACCUUCCGGAAGGCUUUUUUCCCGUCUGGUUGUGCAUCCACCUCCGUCUUUCCCAGGGUCGGGAGCAUGUGGUCCGCUCUGAGCCACGGGUGUAACUCAGAGGACUUGAGACCUCGAGUUCUUUAGUUUCCAGCUGAGGAAGACGCAUUUUAGUUGAGACUAGUCACAUUUCCAAUGCUGAGAAGCAGGCCUUGGCCAGUGUGGCUGCAGGUGCCUGAGGAGUGCAGAGUGGCAUAAGACGCAGCGGAAGAGACAGGAUCCAGUCCAGGACACUACAUUGCAUUAGUUGUUACAUCUCCAUAGUCUCCACUGGUUCAUGAUAGUUUCCCAGUUUUGUUUUUCAUGACCUUGAUGUUUUGAGCAGUACUGAAUCAGGUGGAGGAGGAACACCCUGACAUUCAUCUCCCGGGGAAUGGUCUCUCUACCCUGCACCCACAUGGUGAAGCACUAUAGAAGAUUCUCCCCAUGGGUCAGCUUCUCUCCAGUGCCAGACUCCUCAAAGAAACGAUACCACCCAAAUCAUCUUGCAAACCACAUGGAAAAUUGUGUUUCGGUGAUCUUUAUACAUGCAUCUUGUGCCUAUUGCUGAAGAAUGGACACUUUGAAGUGAUACUUCAUUUGAAGUGGUCAAAUGGGCAAAGGAAACAUCCUAUUGACAGCCACAAGCUUUCAUAAUUGCAUUCCCGUGACAAUGAACACAUUUCUACCAGGUCAAGCUUGCCUACCUGAUCCUGUCUUCUCAAUAUCUUCUUUGAACAACUUCAUGUGGUUGAAUUCCUGGCAGUGCAAUCAUGCUAUUUAUCAAAAGAAACACUGGACAAGCACAGUGGACUUCAGCGCUGUGUCCUGAGCCAUCAUCUGGCCAACUCUCGGCAAGAAACUUCUUUGUUCUUUAGAGACUGAGCUCUAUCCCCAAGCACUAACAGAAUCGAGAUGGAAGAAGUUGGAAUUCUUCAUCUUGGUGCUGUGACACAGUGAGGUUCCUGCUCCCAGGAAGCUGAACCCUGGCCUUGAGAUACAUGUCCAACAGAAGAUGAAGCACAAGCCCAGAGGAGCAAGAGGAAAGACAACACAAGUCCUUGUUCCAGUUGUUCCCAGGUUCAGUGCCAGAUUUCUUUUCUUGAAUUGUGUAAGACACUCUGCUAUCCUGAUUUUCCCCUUUUUGAUUCAACUAGUUCAAGUUGGGUUUCUAUCACAUGCAACCAAGCAAUUCCUGACUAAUGCAGUCACCCUCACUGCUGCCCUAUAUGAGCUCUUCAAUAAAUUCGGUCUCUUCAUCCUACUUUCUUUUCUUUUCUUUUUUUCUUUUUAAGAUUUUAUUCUUAAAUAAUCUCUACACCCAUUGUGGGGCUUGAACUUAUAACCCUGAGAUCAAAAGCCACAUGCUCUACCAACUGAACCAGCCAGGCACUCCUCUUCAGCCUACUUUCUAAACCUCUUUUGUGUUCCUGCCUCCAUACCUCUGCCUUGGGAUCGUCACCGUUCCCUCCCCUUAUGGAAGCUCAGUCUUUACCAGCAUCCAGCCCAAGUUCCACUUUCCCUGACUACCUGGGCAAUCUCUCUAUCCUUAGAACUUACAUAGCCUUUGUUCUCUAUAUAUGCUCACUGGCACUUUCACUUUCCCCAAACUAGACCAUAGAGUCCUUGAGCACUGAGGCAAUGUAUCCUACCAUUGUGUCUCUCCAGAGCC